CAUAUUUUUUGUUUUAAAACUAUUAGCUAAUGCUGCAUUUUUUUUUAUUAAUAAUAUUGCUAAGCUUGCAUUUUAUAUUUUUAAUGCAGGGAAUUGAAAAUGGCAAGGAGCCUCACAUCGUAGAUUUUUACAAGACCUUAUAUUGGAGUAAGAAAAGAAUGAUUGGAUUGAACCAAUUUGUGGGGUGUUAUAUCCACCACCAAGUUAACAGUCUAUUCCUUUGAAGAACAAGAGAGACAUUAUCCAUGGAAGGGCGCCCAUUGCAGCCACAUCCAAACCACCAAACCAGUCCCAACAGCUUUACAUGAACCUGUCCAGAAAAUAGGUUCAAUGAUGAAUUGCCAAGACAACACAAAUUGUUCCAAUCAUAAAGCAACAAGAAUAAAUGUAAAUAACCCACCCACCACCACAACCCCCCUCCCUUUUUUUUUUUUAAAUUUGACAGGAGAAGAUGGACCAACUUCUUGAGAAAGCUUCACAGCCUAGAGCAACCCCGCUGACACAGGAGCAAAUUUCUGUUCAAGUCCUUGGAAAGAGGUCAAGGUAUUUGAAAGGUUUCGGGGUUGGUCCAAAGUCGUCUUCCACUUUCAAGUCUACAGCUAGGUCACAAGCGUAUGAUGAAGAGGUUAAGGGCCUUAAACAAGAGGUAGCAUCACUGAAAGGGAUAAUUCAAUCAUACGAAGGACGCUCUAAGCAGUUCGAACACUUUAUGAGACAAAUGUAGGGCAAUCAUAGUGGAUACAAUUCUUUUGAUGAGUAAGUACUUUAAAUUUUAUUACAUAUAUUAGUGCUUUUAAAACAGUAAAUAUUUUAUGACUAAUCAAUUUCACUUGUUCCCUUUAUGCA